rnacentral:lncRNA from 1 species
AGAUACCCAAUGACUCAAAAGCAGAAAUAUCAGCCAACACCUAUCUUCUCUUUGUGUAAAAACUUAUCUGAGAUAAGCAAACUAAAGAAGUGUAAAAAGCUUUGAACCCAUCCAUAGAGAUUCUUUGAACCUUCUCCAUAGUCAAAGCGAUCCCAAAAAGAAACUUAGCGAUUCUGGAUCCCAACCAUCUGAUCCUUAUUUGCCAUAUUCCUCACUGAUUCUAGAGCUCCAUCUACCCAAACGUAAGAGAUUUGUUGUCUUCUUCCUUCCAAAGUCAAGGUGCGAGCUGCUCUGUUAACCGCACGAGAAACAAAAAAGUAAGAGACUUUUUCGAAAUUAUUUUCAAGGAUACGAAUAUUGUGCAUAAUCGGUCUGAGAAUAGAUUUAUCUUCAAAUGUUAUCUUGAGUUUUUUUAUUAUCGACAGGGAGUCCCCUUCCAAGAAAAGACGUCGAAAACCCAUUUCAAGCGCAAAAAGCAUACCCUUUCGCACACCCUUGCUUCAGCUACAAACGCGUCGACAACAUCCUCAAAAAGGUAAGUACACGCCCCUACGAUUUCACUUUCUAAAUUUCUAGCUAAAACUGAUGUAAUAAAGUUUCUAGAGUCACUUUGAAAAGAUGCGUCAAAAUUUAUCUUAAUAAUACCAAUGUUUGGGGGACUCGCCCCUACGAUUUCACUUUCAAAAUUUCUAGCUAAAACUGGUGUAAUAGAGUUUCUAGAGUCACUUUGAAAAGAUGUGUCAAAAUUUAUAUUAAUAAUACCAAUGUUUGGGGGACUCCAUAGCUCCUUCGACAAUGAUCUAGAAAAAAUCUAGAGGUUCUCUUGGCUUAAUAUUAUCUCUCGGCUGUAGCCUCAAAUAAAACCUAACAAUUCUUGCAAAGAAAACUUAACACAUUUAUGAAUAAGUUUAUUUCUUCGAUACCAUAGGGCCCAUAAAGAAAUAGCGAUAAUCUGUCUGUUAUGUUCAUUUGCUGUAUAAAAAGUGCAAAUAAAUCAAGUUUUACAAUUUGAGGUACCCCCAACUGGAGCAAGCGUGAUUUGAAGAGAAGCCCAAACUUGCUGUAAUAUACCACAAGACCACAGCAAAUGGUCAAAGUCCUCCGGCGCUUCCUUGCAAAUUGGACAAACGACAUCAACAAUUAAUUUCCUCUGAAACAGAUUACAAAAAUGAGGCACAAAAUUAUUAAACAAUCUCUAUAUGUGUAUUUUUAUUUUAGCUGGAAUGUGCAUAGGCCAAAAAGAUUUGCAGAAAUCCUUGUAAUUUUCUGUAUUAGGGAAGUUGUAAUUAUUAUUUUGUAAAUGUUUUGUAACUAGGACCCGAUACCCACUUUUCGCUGAGUACACCCCAGUGGCCUUAUGUUUCCAGACCAGCAUAUCAUCCGAUCUAACACCAGAAAUCGGAAUGGAGAAAAUAGGAAUCACUUGAUCAUCAUCAAGAAGACUGCAAAUCAGAUCCUUAUUCCAGGUAUUGGUCUCUGCCAAUUAAUUGAUUCAUAGUCUUCCAAUUAGGCUUAAUAUUCGGUACUGAUAUAUGCUAUUCACUGGACCAGGCAGCCAAGGAUCAUUGCAUAUAUUAACACAAACACCAUUGCCAAAAUAUGCCAAAAUAUACCCUUUGCAAUCAAAUCUCGAGCAUUACAAAUGCUUCUCCAAGUAAACGAUGGGUAAGAACCGAUUUUUGCCGAUAAGAUAUCUGAAAAAUGGAUAAUAUCUAGCUUUCAAAACUUUAAUUAAAAGGCAAUUAGGCUGGGAUAAAGGAUGCCAAACUUGUUUUGCUAAUAAUGUCGUAUUAAACAAAAACAAAUUUCUAAAUCCCAGCCCACCAACACAUUUCGGUUUAUACAAAGCAUCCCAAUUGCUCCAAUGAAUGCAUUCAGUAGAUUUAUUAUUAAACCACCAGAAUUUAUUCAUUAUGCCUUUUAACUUGCGACAUAAAGAUUUUGGCAAAGCAAAGCAUUGCAUGACAUAAAAUGGUAUAGCUUGUAAAACUGAUUUAAUGAAAACCUCCUUACCCCCCAUUGAGAGAUAGCGUAAGCUCCACCCAUCAAUUUUUUUUCUGAACUGAUUAACAAAGUUAGCAAAAGCCCAUGUCUUUUUCCGUCCAACCAUUAUUUGUAAACCUAAACACUUCUCAAGAUUUGAAGCCACCAGAACACCCAAUAGGUUGGUUAUAAUCUCUCUGUCAUUAGACUCCACAUAAGCCCCAAAAUAGAUAAGAGAUUUAUCGAAAUUCACCCGUCGUCCCGAAACCAUCUCAUACUCCUGAAUAAUAUUUCAAACCACACUAGCUCCCUCACUUGAGGCAUCCCAAAAAAAAUUGCAGUUAUCCACAAAAAACAAGUGGUUAAUCGAAUGUCUUUCCCUUCCAAUAGGAGCACCCUUCAUCAGCCCUUUAUGUUUGCCUUCAUUAAGCAGUGUAGAAGAACCCUUAGCACAAAUUAAAAAGAGAUAAGGGCUGAGUGGAUCGCCCUAUCUUAAACCUCACGAAGGUGAGAACCAAUCACUAUUAGACCUAUUAAGACUCACGGAAUAGGAGACAGAACAAACAUAUCUCAUAAUAAAGAUGACUUUAUCAGUAUGAAAACCCAAAUGAGUCAUCAUUCCAGCCAAAAAUUCUACUCAACAUGAUCGUAUGUUUUACUCAUAUCGAAUUUAAGCGCAAAAUUCCCUUUUUUACCUUUCUUAUUCAUUUUAAAGGAGUGAAAAACCUCAUAAGCAAUUAACACAUUAUCCGAAAUAUGUCUUCUUGGGAUGAA